AACGGUUCUUAUAUUUUGUUUUUUAUAUGAGUAGAUAAAAACCAGCGGUGAUUUGAACCAUUUUUUCUUAUAUGAUGAUGACGAAUUUGGUUGGAAAAUUCUGAGAAGAUUGGAUCCGAUCAUGUGAUUAAGUAAUUUUUUUGACUACCAGAGGCAUGAAGUAUUGAAAGAGGAAACUGGUUCUGGUCUUGGGGUGACAUAUUCUCCAAUCUGGUUAACAUCACUCAAGCGAUUCAGUUUUAUGUUAUUAAUGGAGAUUAAAGAUGAAAACGAGAUACAAACGACAAAAUGUCUAUUGAAGAACUCAUGUGGAGAAUUCAUUUAGUUUUUUCUAUUUGAUAAGAUUAUUCAAUUAUGUAUUACUCUUGUUCAUUUUUUUCAUUCUUCUUGUUUUCUGACAUUUUUUUGUAUAUCUUUUAAUUUCAAAUAUG